rnacentral:rRNA from 1 species
ACUUGAUGGUUAGUUUCGGCUUUACGAUUUUAGAGUAAUGGGGNGUAGGAGCGUGCUAUUGNUGCUGGGGCGGCAAGAAUAAAAUUUGUAACUGUUCUUUUAUGUAAAAUGNGUUGUCUUUAGAGUUUGAGCCUGAAUUUUAGGUUAAAAGAUUAAGUU